rnacentral:rRNA from 1 species
UACGGGGGGAGCAAGCGUUGUUCGGAUUUACUGGGCGUAAAGGGCGCGUAGGCGGCCACCGCAAGUCAAUUGUGAAAUCUCCGGGCUUAACUCGGAAAGGUCAACUGAUACUGCGGGGCUAGAGUGCGGAAGGGGCAACUGGAAUUCUCGGUGUAGCGGUGAAAUGCGUAGAUAUCGAGAGGAACACCUGCGGCGAAGGCGGGUUGCUGGGCCGACACUGACGCUGAGGCGCGAAGGCGUGGGGAGCGAACGGG